CAAGGGUUCCUCACCGUUCUCUUGCUGCGACGUCAGGGGCACGCCCCGCUUCCCGUUUGCCUCACUUCCUGUUUACCGUUGCUAACAGGCAUGGUAGCAGUUGCUGCAUUGUUUGCCCUUUCUUUAAGGCUGUGUUCAUUUCUAGUGGUUAUAGAGGCCGUUUAUUUUUAUAGGGUCACUGUUGGGUGUCCAUAGCCAGAAAGCUGAGCCGCUCGCUGGCUGCUGUACGUCCAGUUCGAGCCGUGAGCCGCUCGCGAGCCGUUACUGGCUGUUACCGUGGCUGCCGGUUGCUCCCCGUUCUCUCGUGGUGGACAAAAUUUACUGAUUGGCGGGCCGCCGUUUGUCUGGAGCUGUGCUGGCUACACGGGGUCCCAAACGUAGGAGAUGCUGCUGUUUUGUCUCCGUGGGUUUGUCUCGCAGACGCGGGUCUGUGUUGCCGACGCUGACAGGUGUCGUGCCAAAGUAGUUACCCCCGUCAGAAAGUGUAUCCCCUGCCGCGGGAGCGCGCAUGCAUUCGGAAGGGUGGAGCUAUAAUUCUGUGUUUAGAUAUCAGCGUAGUUUAUGAAUAAAACAAAAUGUGGAUUGUUACGAUCAUGCUUUGACUGUCAACCAUGUUUGGUAAUUUAGCACAUGACAGUUCAACCUAAAUAAAUGCUUUUGCUAUACAUCGCGUGUUGCCUAAUUAAUAAUAUUGAUAGCGCUGCCUAAUAAUGUCUUUUCCUUCUCCUUGUUGUAAUAAAGUGUAAGCGAUCACCCUGCUGACUAAACGUAGGCUCAAUACUCUUUGGGUGGGUACUAGAUUCAAACGCGCUGUAAUUCACUCUUUAGAUCAAUCUGUCCAACUUCUGAUACAGUAAAAUCAACACCACUGUGAGCAUUUUAACACACUGCAUUUGCUGCAGCACUGCCAGCAAUAGUUGUUGCUGUAACUCACUUUCCACAGGCUUAGCAACACCUGUGAAUUAGGACUAAUUUCAUUAAUCACAGCUAAAGUUAUAGGGGGGUACAAAUUAUUUCAGCCUCAUUCACCAUAUUUUUCUUUCCUGCAAAGGUCUCUUUUUUAUAGAAGGUUUGAACAAAAGAAAAUGAGCUACUUGGUGUUUCUGGCUGCCUGUCGGCCAUCUUGGUUUGACUCUUUUUUUUUUAAAGAAUUUGCAAUGGCUAGCCAAUCACUGGCAGUGGAAGAAAUGAUGCAAUAGGAUCCGCUGUAGUGGCUGAUGUCCAACUAUGCCAUCAAAACUUAUGCACAUACAAGAAAACAGCUUUAGAAGAGCUGCACACUGUCAUGACCUCUAUGCAUGGAAGGGUUAAAGGCAUCAAUAAUGAACACAACACAAAUAAAUUGCUAUCAUAUUACAAUUCUGCAUAAUACACAGUGAAGAAUCACAGUGAUAUUGUAAUAAUUGAAGGUAUUUUUAAUUGUUACUGUAUUUUUGCAAUAUUUUUACUAUAUUUUACUGUAUUUUUCCUAUAUUUUUUACUGUAUUUUUCCUAUAUUUUUACUGUAUUUGUACUAUAUUUUUCACUGUCUUUACUAUAUUGUUACUUUAUUUUUAUGAGAUUUUUUUGCUAUAUUUUUGGUGUAUUUUUACUAUAUAUUUUACAGUAGUUUACUGUAUUUUUUAGUAUAUUUUUGCUGUAUUUUUACUGUAUCUUUACUGUAUUUUAUGAGUCUGCUGUCAUCUAAUCUCUCAUGUAAGAUCAUGUCACAGGAGGGGGCGCUACUGGCCUCUUGUGGACACAGGCGGUAACGACACGACAUUAUUACAAACUGUAUAGCUGGCGACAUUACAGAUGCGCAGCACUUCCUGUUAAUCUUCAACGUAAAAGCAUCUUCCUUUAUUGUACAUUUUAUGUCAAAAGUUUUACUAAGCGAUUUUGGUCGAUUCAGAAGGAUCUCUGGUGUAAACCAAGUCGUAUUUGACGACAGCUAGCUUCUCCACUUGCUCCAAUUACUUUUGUUGUAGUCCGAGUCACGUCCAAACAGGAAAUGAAUCCACAAUGUAGCUAAUGACAAUCUAUAGCUGCAUCUCCGUGAUGGCAGCGUUAGCGAGCUAGCAGCUAAUCAGAAGUUAGUGACAAGCUAACUCCAGCGCUACCAGCAGCGUCUCUUUAAAAGGUGCUGAUCACGAUAUCAGGCUGAAACAUUAGACCUGGGACAGGAAAAGGAGCUAGAGCGCUGUGUCUUGCAGAGGAUUUAUUUUAGAACUACGCAUAUUAAGGUAUUAGUCCGUGUCAUAGCAAACCCUCGUUAGCACUUCCGCUAGCUCGGCUAACACUUCCGGUCACGAAUGCAUUUGUACAUUAGCUAUAACGUGUUCAUUUUUGAACGUAUAGUGACAACAAACACAAUUUGAGACUGUCGACAAGCUAGUGGUCCUUAAAUAGAUUUUGUUUCAUACUGCAGAUUCUUCUGAGUCUCACAAAACCACGUUUUAGCAUAAUAGCAUUACGAUAGUUUUACGUUGAAACAGGAAGUGUUGCUCCUCUGUAAUGUCGCCAGCUUUGCCUCAAAUAAUAAUAGUGUCGUUACCGGCUGUGUCCGCCAGAGGGCAGUAAUGUGUACAGUAAAGAUUUAGUGACUUUAGGGGUCAUUUUGAAUGUUUUUAUGGCUAUUUUUGCUUCAGUUUGUUCAUGUUUUGUCUCAUAUUGUUACUUUAGUGACUUUAGGGAUCCUUUUGCAUGUUUUUAUGGUUAUUUUUGCUUCAGUUUGUUCAUUUUGUGCCUCGUAUUGUUACUUUAGUGACUUUAGGGGUCAAUUUGCAUGUUUUUAUGGAUAUUUUUGAUUCAGUUUGUUCAUUUUUUGUCUCAUAUUAUUAUGUUAGUGACUUUAGGGGUCAUUUUGCAUGUUUUUAUGGCUAUUUUUGAUUCAGUUUGUUCAUUUUUGGUCUCACAUUGUUACUUUAGUUACUUUAGGGGUCAUCUUGCAUGUUUUAAUGGCUAUUUUAUUAUUCAGUUUGUUCAUUUUUUGUCUCAUAUUAUUAUCAUAGUAGAGGCUCAUGGGUAACGUGUCUCUGAGCCAGCCAGGAGCAGAGGCUCAUGGGUAACAUGGUCCUCUGUUUCCAGUCUUUAUGCUAAGCUAGGCUAACAGUUCUAACCUCUUUCCAGUCUUUAUGCUAAGCUAGGAUAGCUGUUUUCCUCUGUUUCCAGUCUUUAUGCUAAGCUAGGCUAACAGUUCUAACCUGUUUUGUCUUUCUGCUAACCUAGGCUAACAGUUCUAACCUGUUGUGUCUUUCUGCUAACCUCGGCUAACAGUUCCCACCUGUUGCCAGCCUUUGUGCGAAGGUAAGCUAACAGUUCCCACCUAUUUCCAGUCUUUGCUAAACUAGGCUAACAGUUCUAACCUGUUUCCAGCCUUUGUGCGAAGCUAAACUAACAGUUCCCACCUGUUUCCAGUCUUUGCUAAACUAGGCUAACAGUUCUAACCUGUUUCCAGUCUUUGUGCUAAGCUAGGCUAACAGUUCCACCUGUUUCCCGUCUGUUUGGUAAGCUAGGCUAACAGUUCUAACCUGUUUCCAGUAUUUGCUAAACUAGGCUAACAGUUCUAACCUGUUUCUACUCUUUGUGCUAUGUUAGGCAAACAGUUCCACCUGUUUCCAGUCUUUGCUAAGCUAGGCUAACAGUUCUAACAUGUUUCCACUCUUUGUGCUAUGCUAGGCUAACAGUUCCACCUGUUUCCAGUCUUUGCGAAACUAGGCUAACAGUUCUAACCUGUUUCCAGUCUUUCUGCUAAGCUAGGCUAACAGUUCCACUUGUUUCCAGUCUGUGUGGUAAGCUAGGCUAACAAUUCUAACCUGUUUUGUCUUUCUGCUAACCUAUGCUAACAGUUCCCACCUGUUGCCAGCCUUUGUGCGAAGAUAAGCUUACAGUUCCCACCUAUUUCCAGUCUUUGCUAAACUAGGCUAACAGUUCUAACCUGUUUCCAGCCUUUGUGCGAAGCUAAGCUAACAGUUCCCACCUGUUUCCAGUCUUUGCUAAACUAGGCUAACAGUUCUAACCUGUUUCCAGUCUUUGUGCUAAGCUAGGCUAACAGUUCCCACCUUUUGCCAGUCUUUGUGCGAAGGUAAGCUAACAGUUCCCACCUAUUUCCAGUCUUUCCUAAACUAGGCUAACAGUUCUAACGUUUCCAGCCUUUGUGCUAAGCUCAGCUAACCAUUCCCACCUGUUCCAGUCUUUGCUAAACUAGGCUAACAGUUCUAACCUUUUUCCAGUCUUUGUGCUAAGCUAGGCUAACAGUUCCACCUGUUUCCAGUCUGUGUGGUAAGCUAGGCUAACAGUUCCACCUUUUUCCAGUCUUUGCUAAACUAGGCUAACAGUUCUAACCUGUUUCCAGUCUUUGUGCUAAGCUAAGCUAACCGUUCCCACCUGUUUCCCGUCUGUGUGGUAAGCUAGGCUAACAGUUCCACCUUUUUCCAGUCUUUGCUAAACUUGGCUAACAGUUCUAACCUGUUUCCAGUCUUUGUGCUAAGCUAGGCUAACAGUUCCACCUGUUUCCAGUCUUUGCUAAACUAGGCUAACAGUUCUAAUCUGUUUCCAGUCUUUGUGCUAAGCUAAGCUAACCGUUCCCACCUGUUUCCCGUCUGUGUGGUAAGCUAGGCUAACAGUUCCACC
ensembl:lncRNA